GCCGCUUAUAUUAUAGCUGCUAGUAUUUUUAAAGUAGAGAAGAUUAAGGUUAUCUUUGCCUUUUUUUUGUUUGUAGGAUUUGAUUGCUGCCGCACCCUCUCAGGGAUCAACUGCCUGAUUUUAAGCGAAGAGUUGAGACGCCUGCCUAGCUGCUGUCUUGUCUUGCCUUGUUUUAUCCUUGUGUUCCGAUCUGUUGGUUGUCCAGUUUUGUUCCUGCUGCUUACCUCGCCCCUGGGGGCUUUGGGUCUCACGCUAAGCCCCUUUUGGACUAUCGUUUCACUCCAGCUUUCGCGGCGGGUCGGGGCGAUCCUCAGCUGCAUAUUGGGCUGGUGUUACAAAACUGGUACUGCCUCUCCCUUUUCUCCCAGUUGUGGAGAGCUGCGCGAGACUGAGUGGGGCUACGGACAAUCGGAACCAGCACCAGCUGUGGGCUGGCUCGCAGAGUACAAGUACUUCUAAUCUGUGCUCUGUGGUGUGUAUGUGGGUGUGUUUUAUUGCAGAUCUCCGUUUUUCUUUUAAUUUCUUUUUUUAGUAUAUAGAGAGCCUGUUUUAUGUCCCAUGUUUUUAUCCUUUUAAUGUGUAUGUCUUGUGCUUUUAUUUCAGCGAACUGAGGCUCUACCAGCGGCCGUGGGACCUUAGGUGGCGGGUCGUUUUCCACACUUCUUUUGUUGUACAGCACCAGGUGAAUAGACUAUAGUAGGUUUUUUGUGUGGUUUUCUUUUGGUCCACCGCUGCUGGUAAGUCCCAGUUGUGUGUUUAUUUUUAUUGUAAUUUGGGACACCGUUUUAGACAUUCAGUGCGCUCUCAGUGUUUUGUUUUUAUUUUACAUUAAUAAAUAAAAUUGUGUUAAUAUUUGAGUCGGCCUCAGUGUGCAUCCCUGAACCUGUGCAAACGUUGUUGUUCUAAUUACAUGUCAUUUUUAAAGUUCAUAUUUCCUGGGGGCUAGAAUUUCCCCUCAGGUGGCGUUGUCAUGUUAUUAUUUCUUUUAUAACCCCACCAACCACUUGGUCACAAUUACAAAACAGUUCCUUUAUCUUAUCUUAUCAUGUCAGAGGUCAACUGAAACCGUGUCCAACUGAACCUCCAAAGGUUUUUCCUUUAGCUUACACCCCCACACCUUUAUCUGUACAGGCAGACAGUUAGACUUUCUACUGACCAACUGAUCCUCCAAACAGUUUUCCACCUUUCUUCUUUACAUCCUAAACUGUGAUAGUUCUAAAAAAAUCAAACAAACAAAAAAAAAAACCCACAUAUUCUUUUCCUCAUCACUAGCCAUUUCACCAUUUUAUUUAAAUAUCUGAAUUUUCGGAAUGAUGAUCCAAGCGGGACACAGAGGCUGCUAGUUUUAACGCACCAGAAUGCAAAUAUAAAUAAAAGCCUGACUAUCCUGACAGCCUAGCUGCAGCGACACCUUUCUUUCACACGGAUGCCUGGAUGUGCGUUGGAGCUGCCUUUGCUACCCGCACACAGCGUUUCUGACCUACGGGCGCUGCUUAUACAACAGAGAAAUACAGCAUGUUUCUCUGCUCCAAGACAUCGGGGGGCCUUUCACACGGUAAGCAUGUCUGUUAUACCCAGCGCAUAAAUGUCUGUAUGUCAGUGCUGAUUAUUCAAACCCUGUUUAAAAUGUGACACACAUGUUGUCCGAAAACAAAUCCUCUAAAUUUGCAAAGUUACUGAUUUAAAAAUAUAUUUUCGAAUUUUUAGUUGCAUGACAAACAUAUGAUAGACUCUUGAGCGUAUUUAUUUAUAUAGCUACAUUCACAAUGGUACAACCAUGCUAAAUAAAAGAUGCCCAAGCACCAAAGCACUCUAAUGCAAGCCUCUGAACUGUAUGUUUGAUAAGUGCAUAAAGUGUACCUCUACCUCUAUAGCUGAAAACAGUUUGUAUCCGCACUCUGAGGAUCUGCUGAAUUGUUUUUAAUAUGGCACUUUUUGACGAACUGCAGAUGAUGAAUUCCUCUUUAUUGGAGAAAGUGUCCUUAAGCUAUUGUUGCUCAUACUCACUGAGUUCCCUAGCUACUUCUUUACUAUGUCAGUAAACUUUUUGAAAAGGAAGGUGUUGUAGAUUUAAAGAAACAUCCUAAUUGAAGCAAAGGCAAAAAAUUGGAAUGAAUUUUAUGUGACUGUUCAUAUUAAAGCCAACAACAAGUGAAAAUCCAAAACCGACUCCAAUCCUUUGUAUUAAUGAUCUCCCUCUCUCUCUCUGUGUGAGUGUGUGUGUGUGUGUGUGUGAGUGUGUGUGUGCCCUCACAGAAGGAAGGUCAUGGCACGAGCUUUUUCAAUCUGCAGUGAAAUUUAUUAAACCGUUGCUUAAUGGGACAGAUGUACACGUCACUCUUUACUAACACACUGUAGAUAAGUUUAUUGCUGAACCACACAGCUAGCAGUCUCUCACACUCUCUAGGUUUUUGAAGUUUUGUGUGUAACGGUUUAGUCUAUCAAACCUUAUCCUUUUCUCCCCAGUAUCACAACAGUAAGUAUGGAUCAGUAAACAACCAAUGAUUCUAAAGCCAGAACAGAAAGAUACAGUUGGAAGAUGAAUGAUUGCGUUUUUAUGAUGAAUAGUAAAACUACCCCCUCUUCUUCUUCUCUGUGUUGUUGUUGCAUGAAGGUUGAAAAACUGAUUAGAUUAAUGUCUGAUGAUCUUUUCUGUGCUUCUUCAAGUUUGUAACACCAAACAUAUUAAAGGAUGAUAUGAGGUUCACAGGAAGAGUUGAAUUAGACACAUUUACUAUUUUUCUUUAUACUCUUUCUUUCUUGACAUGUUUAAUAUGAUUACUAUCAGAGGAGAAAAUAAACCCUGUGUAGUUUAAAAACUUUUUAUUUAAUCAAACUGUAAUGUUGUUGAACUCUGACGGACGUGUCUUUUAAUCUUGUCAACAAAUCCUUAAUCAUCUAAAUGUGCCAUUUAUCAUCUUGUAAAAUGUUCCCUCUGCUUCUGUUGCACAUCUCCCCUGACACUCUCUGCUUCACCUGUCCUGUGCAGCUGGUCCAACCGCUGCCUCCUUAAACUUGUGUGUUUAAAUCUCUUUACCUCUGUUGUGAACUUCACACAAAGUUUGUGGUAGCAAAAUCAAACUGAGGAGGAUCUUGUUUGAAAAACACACACUCACAAGACAAAAUAAAAACAGACUGCUCAAAGCAAACGCAGAGCCCUCACAGCUGGUAGUACAAAAACACAGUAACAAUGUGCGUAUUAGAUUCCCCUUACUCCCAAAAGCAUAAAUAUGAAAAAAAUGGGAUCACCAAGAAUAUCCUAAAAAUGGCAUUGAGGGGAGUGUUACAGUGAAAAAACAAAAAGCCAAAUUUUCAUCUGAAAAUGUUGAAUUUUAGUAAAAACAAUGC
ensembl:lncRNA